rnacentral:rRNA from 1 species
AACGAACGCUGGCGGCAGGCCUAACACAUGCAAGUCGAGCGCCCAGCAAUGGGAGCGGCGGACGGGUGAGUAACGCGUGGGAAUUUUUCCUGGAGUACGGAACAACCGAGGGAAACUUCGGCUAAUACCGUAUGAUGCCGAGAGGCCAAAGAUUUAUCGCUCUGGGGUGAGCCCGCGUCAGAUUAGGUAGUUGGUGGGGUAAAGGCCUACCAAGCCUGCGAUCUGUAGCUGGUCUGAGAGGACGAUCAGCCACACUGGGACUGAGACACGGCCCAGACUCCUACGGGAGGCAGCAGUGGGGAAUCUUGCGCAAGUGGGCGAAAGCCUGACGCAGCCAUGCCGCGUGAGUGAAGAA